rnacentral:rRNA from 1 species
UACAGAGGUCCCAAGCGUUAAUCGGAAUUACUGGGCGUAAAGCGUGCGCAGGCGGCUUUGCAAGACAGAUGUGAAAUCCCCGGGCUUAACCUGGGAACUGCAUUUGUGACUGCAUGGCUGGAGUGUGGCAGAGGGGGAUGGAAUUCCGCGUGUAGCAGUGAAAUGCGUAGAUAUGCGGAGGAACACCGAUGGCGAAGGCAAUCCCCUGGGCCUGCACUGACGCUCAUGCACGAAAGCGUGGGGAGCAAACAGG